AAGUUUUCGAUCAAGUGCUCCAAUCCUUUGGAGAUGGUUUUGAAUCUAUCCUAUGGAGCUGUACAUGGUAGACUAAGGCACUCUGUUACAGAAACUGUCUAGACACCCCAGCUUUCACAAGCUGAUCAGCAAGCUAUUAGCCAAUCUCUAUCUCCACUUAAAACAGAUGUUACAGUUGCACAGAGGAGCCUGCUUCUCCAAAUCAAGUGAAGGUAUCUUCACAGGCUACUAGAGUUUGAACUUAACCACUUGAAGAUCAAGCCUGCAUCUUGCUCAAGAAUUAACAGUUUUUAUGUACUCUGUCCAUACUUCUUGGAUUUGUGGUUUGAAAUGAUACACAGGUAUGGAGAACAGUGUACAACUUUUGAAUUUCAAUGAGAUAUACUCUUUCUGUUUUUAUAAUUUUUUCUUCUUUGUUUAUAAAAGG